CAUGCGGUGGUGAAUUCAAUUCUCGUCAUAUAGUCAGACGUUCCGGUUCAAAAGCUCUUGAUGACCCAAAGUCCUCAACGCGACCCCAGGUCAGGCAGGAUCACCCGCUGAGUUUAAGCAUAUCAAUAAGCGGAGGAAAAGAAACUAACAAGGAUUCCCUUAGUAACGGCGAGCGAACCGGUUAUAGCCCAACUUGAAAAUCGGACGUCUUUGGCGUUAGAAUUGUUGUCUGGAGAAGUGUCCUCAGCGAUGGACCGGGCCCAAGUUCCCUGGAAAGGGUCGCCAGAGAGGGUGAGAGCCCCGUCAUGCCCAGACCCUAUCGCACCACGAGGCACUGUCUACGUGUAGGGUUGUUUGGGAAUGCAGCCCCAAUCGAGGGGUAAAUUCUAUCCAAGGCUAAAUGUGGGCGAGAGACCGAUAGAGAACAAGUACCGCGAGGUAAAGAUGGAAAGGACUUUGAAAAAAGAGUCAAAGAGUGCUUGAAAUUGUCGGGAGGGAAGCGGAUGGGGCCGCAAUUCAUCCCUAGUCGGAUGCGAACGGAGCAAUCUGGUCUCGCCAAUCUAUUCGGGCAUGGACCGACGCAGAUUAAGGUGGUGACCUAAGCCCGGCUUUUGUUACGCCACGGAGACGCCGCUGCCUUUAAUUGUGGUCUGCAGCACGCCUCAUGGUGUGCCUCGGCAUCUUCAUGCUCGUAUGCCAACCUGUGGGCUCCCAUAAGACCCAUCUUGAAACACGGACCAAGGAGUCUGACAUGUGUGCGAAGUCAACGGGUGAGUAAACCCGUAAGGCGCAAGGAAGGUGAUUGGCUGGAUCCUCACGGGUGCAAAGCCGACCGACCUUGAUCUUCCGAGAAGGGUUAGAGGUGAGCAUGCCUGUCGGGACCCGAAAGAUGGUGAACUAUGCCUGAAGGGGCGAAGCCGAGGAAACUUCGGUGGAGGCCCGCAGCGAUACUUGACGUGCAAAUCGCUUCAUCCGACUUGGGUAUAGGGAUGAAAGACUAAUCGAACCAUCUAGUAGCUGGUUCCCUCCGUUUCCCUCAGAUAGCGGAGCUCUGAAAUGAGUUCUAUCAGGUAAAGCCAAUGAUUAGAGGCAUCCGGGAUGCAAUGUCCUCGAAGCUAUUCUCAAACUUUAAAUUGGUAGGACGGGUGGCAGCUUUGUUGAGCCAUCCCACGGAAUCGCGAGCUCCCAAGUGGGCCAUUUUUUGGUAAGCAGAACUGGAGAUGUAGGAUGAACUGGAAGCCGGGUUACGGUGCCCAACUGCGCGCUAACCUAGAUACGGCAAAGGGUGUUGGUCGAUUAAGACAGCAGGACGGUGGACAUGGAAGUUGAAAUCCGCUAAGGAGUGUGUAACAUCUCACCCGUCAAUCAACUAGCCCCGAAAUGGAUGGCGCUGCUGCGACCUAUACCCGCCAUCGGGGAAGAGCCAGGCCUCGAUGAGUAGAGGGUGCAGCGGUCGCUGCAAAACCUAGGGCGGAGCCCGGCGAGCGCCGCCGGUGCAGAUCUUGGUGGUAGUAGCAAAUAUUCAAAUGAGAACUUCAAGGUCAAGAAGGAAAGGGUUCCAUUUGAACGGCACUUGCACAUGGGUUAGUCGAUCCUAAGAGUCGGGGAAACCCGCCUGAUAGCGCUUAUGCAUAAACUUCAAAGGGGAUCCGGUUAAAAUUCUGGAACCAGGACGGUGGUGGUUGACGGCUACGUUAGGAAGUCCGAGACGCCGGCGGGAUUCCGGAAAAGAGUUAUCUUUCCUGUUUAACAGCCUGCCCACCCUAGAAACGGCUCAGCCGGAGGUAGGGUCCAGCGGGUUGAAAGAGUGAUAUACCUUGGAUUUGACCCAUUUUCAUCCAUGGUAUAUAGGUGUUUUACUAUAUAUAUAUAUAUCUAUGUUUUCUACUCUUCUAGGUAUGUUUUCAGGUUCAGGUGCAUUUGGGAGUAAAGCUAUGACUUUGGAGCAUUUUGGAGCUUAAAAGACAUUUCAUCCGAGCUGACCAUGUAGAGGUCGACGAGAGGAAGAACAAUCGAUCGAUGCACAUCCAGUACUGUCGAUUGACACCAUGAGAUGCCUCGACAAAUGAAGAUUAAUAUCGAUCGAUGUACACAAGUACCAUCGAUUGAUGUCGAGUAAUUGAACAUGCGACAUUUUGGAUCCAGCGGACUUGAAGCCCAAGUCCAAGCCCUGAAGAGUUUUUAACCUAGUAGAUUUUAUACUGCCUAAGUGUUUUGACGGCAGAGAGAUUUUUUUGUUACAGUUUUACUUUGAGAGAGAGAGAGAGAGAGUUUUGGAGAGAAGAUCACUUGUGAUUGGAACUCCUUGUUUUCAUUUCUUUUCUUCUAUACUAUGAAUUUCCAUUUCUUCAUUGUCAUGAAUUGCUUUGCUAUGUCGGAGUAGUUCAUUUAUUAGAUCCAGGUUCAGAUAGGUUUGUGGGAUUAGUCCCAAACUAUAGAUCUCCUUGUUGUGAUAUUCAUGAUAGAUUUGUAUUCAUUGCUUGUUUUAGCCUUUGCUAACUGAACAUGAUCAUAAGAUUGCAUACUCAAGCACCCUUGUUAUCCCAUCCUGACAUCUAUCUAUCAUAUUAGGACUGCUGUAGAGGGCUAACCGCCAAUUUAGUAUCUUAAUAGGGCAUAUCAUACUCACAAGAUAGGCCUGGCUAGAACCCGCCGAUCGAUGUACUCAACUGACUAUCGGUCGACGUAGGUAAAGGUGUAUCGGUUGAUGUCCCUAUAGGACCAUCGAUCGACACUCUUUCGUUGUCAACAUACUAACCGUUGAGACACGAGAUCUAGUUUGUUAACCAGUGAAACAUGCGACAGCUGAUCACCGAAGUUAAGCUGUUGAGUUUCUAACAUAUCAUGCAUGCAGCAAAUAGGCAUCUAUAAAUAUUAUAAUCUCCAACACCUGAAUAGUGGCCCCUGCGUCUAAUAUCAUUUCCAACCAAGUUAC
rnacentral:rRNA from 1 species